GGGGUUGGGGCUCAGUGGUAGAGUGCAUACCUAGCAUGUAUGAGGCACUGGGUUUGAUUCUCAGCACCACA
rnacentral:tRNA from 1 species